rnacentral:rRNA from 1 species
AUUGAACGCUGGCGGCAGGCUUAACACAUGCAAGUUGAGCGGGGUGAUGGUGCUUGCACUAUCACUUAGCGGCGGACGGGUGAGUAAUGCUUAGGAAUCUGCCUAUUAGUGGGGGACAACAUCUCGAAAGGGAUGCUAAUACCGCAUACGUCCUACGGGAGAAAGCAGGGGAUCACUUGUGACCUUGCGCUAAUAGAUGAGCCUAAGUCGGAUUAGCUAGUUGGUGGGGGAAAGGCCUACCAAGGCGACGAUCUGUAGCGGGUCUGAGAGGAUGAUCCGCCACACUGGGACUGAGACACGGCCCAGACUCCUACGGGAGGCAGCAGUGGGGAAUAUUGGACAAUGGGGGGAACCCUGAUCCAGCCAUGCCGCGUGUGUGAAGAAGGCCUUAUGGUUGUAAAGCACUUUAAGCGAGGAGGAGGCUCUUUUGGUUAAUACCCUAGAUGAGUGGACGUUACUCGCAGAAUAAGCACCGGCUAACUCUGUGCCAGCCGCCGCCGUAA